GCACCUAAAAAUUCAAGUCCAUCACAAAAGAAUAAAAAAUGGCAACCUCUACUUGAUUCCACAGAAGGUUUUGAGGAGAGGGAGGGAGAGCUAGAGAGAAGAACAUCCCUAAUAAUAGUCUUGGGUAUUGAUGGGAGGGGAAUACUUUUAUAGUUCGUUUUCUCCCCUCUUGUUCCUUAAGGCUAUGUUUGGUUUGAGGGAAAGGGAGAGAAAAGAAAAGUAAAAUAGAAGAGAAAGUGAAUUUCUAGUGUUUGGUUUGAAAGAAAACAAAAAAGAAAAUGAAAAUAAUUUUCGCUGAAGAAAAAUCCAUACAUAUCUUUUCUGUCCCCCUUUCUCUCAGCUGCCCAGGUGAAAACGAGGGAGAGAGACGGAAUCAAUGCCUCCGACUUCCCCGAUCUCUCACCUCCCUCUCUCUCCAAAACUCCGAUCAAUCUCCCAUCUCUCUCUCCCCCCUCAUUCUCUUUCUCUCUCUUCCCAAAUCUAGGGCUACAAAGCUAGGGUUUCUCCAUUCGAGCUCUCGUCAGCUUGAGAUACGAGGGUGAGCUUCGGAUCUCGUCAACUUGAGAUCCGAGGGUGAGCUUUUGAAGCGACAACGCCAAAGAACCCAACUGAUUGCCGAUCUUCGCUGCUCGCUUUCUUGCUGAUCUUGAUGGAGCCGUCUCCGGCAGCGAAGCUCGCCGCUCAGAGCAGCAAGCCUCGUCUGUUUACUGGGAGCUCGUCUUAUCUGGACGAGGAUCUCGAUAUAAUUGAGCUAUCGGGCCCGUCUUCUUCUUCUUGGAAUACAAAUAAUCAGAAGAGAAAGAGAACCCAGGGAGAGAAGCAGAUGAGAUCUGAAGCCUUUGAUUGAAGUCAGGAAGAAAUAUUGAUGUUAUUGCUUUGUAGGAAUAUUUGAAUGAAUCAAAUAUUCUGAGCAUAUUUCUUGAUGUUCACUUUUUGUUUUGCCUUUUUUAGUUAGGACCUUGGACUAGUCGAGAACACAAAGUUGAACUAAAAGUACUUGUUGAAUGUUGGGCUUGUACAACUAUUGCAACUACAAUUUUGUUGGUUGUUUUUAGUAGUUAUUGUCAAAGCAAUGAAAACAAUGUAAUUUUUGUUUGAUUA